AGUGAACGAUGAUAUUUGUAUUCAGAAAACAUAGCAUUUAAUACUUUUAAAAAUUUAAAGAGCAUAUCUAAAACGGAUUUUAAUAAAUCUAUUUCGAAAAAAAUCAAACCUAGAACUUUAGUUAAUUUUAGAAUAACAAAUUUAAUAUAUAAUUAAAAAAAAUUAUUCAUUAAGGGUAAAAACACUUUAGGCCACUCUAACUUAAACAUGAGUUUUUUUUUGUCAUCAACAAUACAGAUUUAUAUUGACUCUGUGAACCAAACCGGGUGAUCUGCAUCCAUGUGAACGACGAAAGACGGCUGUUUUCUAGCACUGCGUGCUAGACUAUCCGCCUUUGAAUUUUGCGUCUGUGGUACAUAGAUGAUCUCUGAUCGGGUGAAACUCUCUUUCAGGGUCUUGAUAUCUUCCAAAUAUGUUGCAAAAGCAGGUCAUUCUUCUGGUUCCGAAAUCAUCUUCACCAAUUGAGAACAAUCUGUUGCAAACGUAAUCUGAAAUUGACGUAAGUUCCUCAUGCAUUCCAUUGCCCAUAAACGUGCUUCCAUCUCCGCAUGAAGAGGCGAAAGACUAGCCCUUACAUUCUUCGCCCCCAGUAAUCCAUCGAAACCUUCCAAAGUAC
rnacentral:lncRNA from 1 species